UUAUUUUAUACUUUAAUCUUGAAUUUAUUUUUUAAAUGUUUAUAUUAUUUGAAUGUUUUAUUCAAAUAAUAUAAAAAAUAAUAUAUAUAUUGACAUGGAUUAAACAAAGAUAUAUAUUAUUCUAUGUUGUAUAAACAAAUUGGCAAAAUAGAGAUGGAAGAUAAAAAUAUGGUCAAAGUAAUAAGAGUC
rnacentral:misc_RNA from 1 species